GGGAGCUCGAAAGAGCCAAUCAGAGGCCGCCUCCCGAAACCCCGGCGGCCCGCAGCGCCACACUGGAACGCCUCGCUUAAAGUAACAGGAAACGCCUCCCGCCUCGGUGUUCCCGGACUGUGAACCGUGCCCAGGUGGAGGCGGGACACCUGGGAGUGCCCGGUGCAGAGCCUCUGGGAACCAGUUGUUUGCUUCUUGUGGCUCCCCCACACACACCACUGACAACCUGCUGGGUUGCAUCAGGGUCUGCCCUCUCUCUAAGGGCGCACCAGGCUACUGGGAGCCUUAAAAUAGAUAAAGUUAAUACUGACUGUAAUGUGCAUAAAUUGGAUUAUAAUCUUUAGGCAUAUUGGUGACAGCCAGCACAAUCCAUCUCUGGGUAUUAACCCAUUUAGGCUCCCGGGUGACAACCCUUCGCAGAAGUGUUCUAGAGUCGCUCUUCUACAAAUGCCCCAGCUCCGAUUGUAUUUUGUCUCAGUGGCCAUGGGUAGAAUAUCAAGCCAUACGUGAGGCGAAAGGGGAAAAUAAAAGAGUUACUAGCUUCCUCUAGAAACCCAGACAACCUUUAAAAAGGAAACGGAUAAGAUCUAGGCGAGAUACGAAAAUGAAAGAUGGGUGUGACUUUGUUUCGUUAAAUAAAGUUCUUGUACCUCUCUG
rnacentral:sRNA from 1 species